UUCGGCGCCGGUGCAAAAAAAAAAAACGCCUGAAGAGGCCUUCCUGGGACGCGGCUGGAGAUGCCCUAAGGCCUCGCCGCUUCGCCGUCAGGCACGGCGGGGUCGGCUCGCCCCCGUCGCCGCCCACUUCGACACCACCCCAGGGCACCGCCCCACUUCCAUCGAUCUGGCAACAGCUUUGCUCUGCUGCAGCGACGUGCUGCCCCAAUAUCCCGUACAGCUCGGGUUCCGAGGCGGAGGCAGAGGGUGAGGAAGCGCAGGCGCUGGCGCUGCAGCUCGCGGACAAAUCGAGGGAACUGCCCGUGGCGCGGACGGCGGGCGGUCGGGCGGGCGGUCGGGCAACGAGAGCUAGAGCUUACAGAGGAGCAGGGAUCUAGAAGAGAAAAGCAUUACCAGAGGUAGAAGACUGGCCAUGGACUCGAAUCAUCGUGAUCAGGAUGAGCAGCAGCAGUGCCAAGAUCCAUGUCGGCCUUCUACGUGCCGAGCAACCGAAGCUGAUCACCAUGAUAGACACAAGCAACGCAGUUUAGUACUACAGGAUUUGGAUUGA